rnacentral:tRNA from 1 species
UGUGAAGUGCCUGAUUAAAGGAUAAUUUUGAUAGAAUUAAUAACGUGCAUGCCCCCCCCGGCACCUUCACAA